rnacentral:rRNA from 1 species
UACGUAGGGGGCAAGCGUUGUCCGGAUUUAUUGGGCGUAAAGAGCGUGUAGGCGGUCAGGUAGGUCCGUUGUGAAAACUCGAGGCUCAACCUCGAGACGCCGAUGGAAACCAUCGUGAGCUAGAGUCCGGAAGAGGAGAGUGGAAUUCCUGGUGUAGCGGUGAAAUGCGCAGAUAUCAGGAAGAACACCCGUGGCGAAGGCGGCUCUCUGGACGGUACUGACGCUGAGACGCGAAAGCGUGGGGAGCAAACAGG